rnacentral:rRNA from 1 species
GCAUAAUCACUUGUCCCUUAAAUCGGGACUGGAAUGAACGGCUAAAUGAGGACUAAACUGUCUCUUACAGGCCAGCCAAUGAAAUUGAUUUUCCAGUACAAAAGCUGGAAUAUAACCACAAGACGAGAAGACCCUGUGGAGCUUACAAACCAAAUUCACCAAACAUGUUUAUCGGUUUUCAGUUGGGGCGACUUCGGAGUACAAAAUAACCUCCAAACAUAAAACUAAUUAAGAACAACACAUCAAAAUAUAUUUAUAAUGACCCAGCAACCCUAUGGUUGUCUGAUUAAUGAACCAAGUUACCCCAGGGAUAACAGCGCCAUCCCCUUCUAGAGUCCCUAUCGACAAGGGGGUUUACGACCUCGAUGUUGGAUCAGGACACCCCAAUGGUGCAGCCGCCAUUAACGGUUCGUUUGUUCAACGAUUAAAGUCCAACGUGAU